UUGAGAGACAAUUGGGCAAUCUCGCGUCGUUACACGGCCGCAACCAAAUCUUUCAUCCCCACUGUUACGCAAUAGUGGAGUGAAAGCGCGACCGUCGUCACUUAACGUGUGUACAUCCGAUUUCCACAGUCGUUCGAUUUUACUCUCAUCGAUCGGAGACGUCGAAGAAUUUCCCUCAUUCCUAUCACCGUGGGGUCAGGGAAUGGAUUUUCUACCCCUACCGACCGAGCACAAUUGUGACUUAGCACGCGGAAAGCGUGUGUCGUUUUGCCUGGCGUCGAGCAAGAUGCGCAACAAGUGCAUCUCUGGCGCAGCAGGUAGACGUGAGGCACCGCCUUAUAUUUACAUCGUACAAUACCCGGCGCGCAUCCGUUUCUUCCUUUUCUCCCAGUAGAUCGUAAUUUUUGGGUCAUCGUUAAUGCCGGAAAUACUGCCGGAUUUCAACAUGCCACGUGCCGAAUUUCGUGACGAAAGCACCGCGGGAUCUCUUUCCCUCUUUUGUCGCAAUACAAAUAGAACACAGUAAAGCAAUUCUCGUAAUAACGGUAAAAGAAACCGAAUGGCCCGAGUAAUGCGGUAAUUAUACAUACAAAAUAUAUGAAGAAAAAAAACUGUUUGAACGAGCAAAAACUUAAAAGUAAGCCUGCUCUCGCUCGACGGGACAUCGUCCCGUAUUCAAUGAAAAAAUUAGCAAGAAUAUUAGCGUACAAUCAGUCAUGAUUAGCGUACACUUCCAGAUCCCUUGAACCAAUUUCGUUUUUCGAAAACCGUAACUCACCUUUUUUGCGUUCGCCAGAACGAGGCGAACGCAACAUGUUGAUACAACAAUAAAAUUCGUCGAUCGUUUCAAUCUUAAACGCGCAUUGUGAACAUUGAAUCACUAAUAAUUUGCUCAGUUGUAUAAUUCGUUCAACUGAUUCGAUACACACACAUGUAUUAAACUAUUUUAUUUAUCCAAACUAGCCUCCACUUUUCAAGUAUAAUUUCGAAAAAUGUACACUCAACCACCUUGAGAAUUAUGUGUAUAGCAAAUUCGAUUGGACACACUAGUGCAUAUUAAUAUACAUAUUAAAACUAUUGUACACGGAUCUAAUCUAAAAAUAAAAUGUCUCGAAUAAUAAAAAACACAUUUUACCAAACAGCAAUAAAGUAUAUUAGGAAUUUUGGAGUUCAACCUAUUUAUAUUAAAUAUUAACAUUGUAUAUUAAUACUAUAUAUUAAACACAUUCUUACAUCGAUUUGUAUAAUGACUUUAAUGUGCACCAGCGUGCACUAAUGCAUUCAAUCGAAUUUAGUAAUAGAUAACUGAUUUUUUGUAUUCUUAAAUUUUCGAAUCCAUAAGCUAUAAUGAAUUUAUAAUUACACGCGAAAAUACUGAUUAUACGGAGAGACAAUUCCGAAUAUACGGUGAAAAUAAAUUUCCAUAUUGAUAAAUCGAUGUGCAUAACUACCAAUCUGAUUACACGAAGAGACAAUUCCGGAUAUACGAUGAAAAUAAAUUUCCAUACUGAUAAAUCGACAUGCAUGAUCGCUCCAUCUUGGCGCCUUGUAUUUUAUUAAUUCUAAUCGUUGCCUACAUUUAGUCAUUAUCGUACGACCUUUUCGAAAAUAUAAUCUUCAUUUAAUGGACAAUAACGACGGAUUUAGACGUUUGCGUUAGACUAACGGUAUCAAAAUUAAGCCAUCCCUAUAGUGUAUGCGUGGCAAUUGCAAAAUUACGACCGGAAUAUCUCCGAUGGCGGAAUCUCACGCGUGUCAUUAUCAAAUUGACAGGAGCGAAGCAGCGCGCGAUACUUCCUGCUGAUAAUUUUAUGUCACUUCCUACGUUAUCUAUCACGAUACCCGUCUCGUGGCGGCACACUCGGUGCUGCUUUGUCAAGUGACGAUCGAUUGUGUUACAUUUUUCUCCGAAAAGGGAUGUGCAAUCGAAACUCAAUAAGAAAAAGAAACCGUAAGAAUACAUUCAGAUAAAAUAAGAAUCGUUUUUCAUCUUUAAACGCGAACAAUUAUCACGUUUGAAUAUUUUUAACGUUAUAUUUUGGAGUAAAAGUAGAAGCGUCAAGUUAAGCGUGCGAGAAAGCAAAUUCACUGGAUUUUUACGAGUGCAUAAAAAUAGAAAUAUAAUUUUUUUCUGACAUUAGAAAAAAAAAAUAUAUAUAUGAUUGUUUUUUUCAGAAUCAAGCGUCAAGUUGAGAGUGCGAGAAUGCAAAUUCGAAGGAUUUUUACGAGCGCAUAAAAAUAGAUAUAUAAUUUUUUCUAUCUUUUAUCUACAUUAGAAAAAUGUAUACAUGUGAUUAUAUGUGUGAUUUUUUUUUAUAUGUGUAGUCUUCUUCAAAGAUUUUGAUUGAGCAAACAAGAGACGUGUAUUAGAACUUCGUGAAAUUAUCUUAAAAGGCAGAGACACGUGCACGCUUCGCAACUCGGUAUUUGCCAUCGUGUGUUUACCAUUCGUUACCGGAAACGGCGCGGCGAUCUCGCGUGCCAACAAUUCCGGGUAUGGUUCGGCGAUCAUAGCGGCAGGUGUCACGUCAUUACCAGCCACGUGAGAGACAUACAAUUGGCGCACCGGUUAUAAAUUACUUCGGCGACGCAUCGUAACAGAAAACGUUAACGAUCUUUGUUGCACGUUGCGGCGGGCCUGAUAAUUGCGACAUGAGUACCGAGAUGUCUGCUCGAUGAAUUACGACGAAUGUAAUAAGGGUAUUUCGACAAAUUUUGCGCCGGCUGCGCGCGGAGUAAGUAAUCGGAAUAAUCAUUCUAAUCUAUAAUUGAUUUCAAGAUGAUUUUCCAGACCAUUGCACGAUACAAUAUUCAAUAACCAUUCUGAUGUCUGUUAACAAUGUUAACAUUGUCUAUUACUCUAAUCAACAAGUAAACAUUUUUUUGGCAACAUGAAAUAAAUAAGGAGAUUCUUGAUCGAUUUUACUUACUGAGUAUAAAAAUAUCAAUAAAAAGUUCGUAGCACGUAUAACUUUUUUGCUAUCGAAAUAUCAGAAUAUCAUUUUCAAUAGAAACUGUUUAAUUUUCCUUCUAUUAUUUUUAUAUCGCGAGAUAGAAAAAUGAAUCCUAAACGCAUAUAUUACUUUCCUUUUAGAAAAAAAUUUCAGAUAUUUCUUUCCUUUCCGGGUGAAAAAAAAAUAUAUAACAACGUAUAAAGCAUACGUAGGAAAUCCAAUUUUUAUCCAGAUUUCCGAUUUACUUGAUAACCGAAAUAUAUGCUAUAAGCUUUUUUCGAAGUUUUUGUAAGCGAUCUACUUUGUGAUUUCAUAAC